ACUAGUAUGCAUCUUCCUCAGAUUUAUCUGAGAUUAUGAAUCUAUUUAGGACUAUUGUGUUUUGACUGCUCUGGUUGGCUUAUAUAUUUUAUUAUCUCUUCACAUAGAAUUGUUGAUUUCAAAGAUAGCAGUGAGGGUCUAAUGGAAAUCUGCCAUGCAGACCAUCUAAGUCACUUACUCUUCAAUCUUGCUUCAAUUUAACGAGCAUCAGUCAAGCCAAGAUCUCAGCUAUCAGUAGCUUUUCUUUAAGGGGCAGGCCCUGAGGAGCAUCCUUCCCGGAGUCUGCACAGUAUUGGGAAGCUUCCUGCCCGGACUUCCCUGGAUGGUACCUUCCCUGCAAGCUCCAAAAAGAAGUAAAUCCUUUCUUCCACAAGAUAGAGCUUUGGUCAUGGUGAUUUAUCACAGGAGUGCAGACCCUAGAUUCCAGAUAAGUGUAAUCCUCUUGCCUCAUCGAUUUUCUUUCUCUUGGCAACAGACAGAGAUCAUUCCAGAAAACAACAAGCCUUCGAACUGCAGAGUUGCCGAGCCCAGGCACAAUGGAGAUCUCCAACACAGCUGCAUCUAAGGCUCAGGGAAUAUUUUGGAAGAGGGGUCAGAAGCAGUCUAAGAACUAGAGGAUCAAGGAAUGAGAUGCAAUGCUGUGUCUCCUAAGACUGCCAGAAGCAACCUGCAAAGUCUCAGCAACACGACUGCCCAAACAUGAGCUGGACAAGGAAGAGUAGACAUGCCAGAUAUGGGCAGAGGGAAAGCCCAUAGGGCCUCAACCUUAUCUCCAAAGAACAAGGGCAAACUAAGGAGGGCUGAGAGCUAGAGAGAUAGGCUUCCCCAGGAAGGAGCACAACAGUUGUUUAUCUCCUACCAGAGGCUAGUCCUGGAAACACGCAUCCAGGUCACACCAUGAAGCUUGAGCUGAUUAUAUGUAGAAAUCUAUAUGCAUGUACAUGAAUACAUUGGUAGAGGAAAUAACAAUUGAUGAAGAACGGGGUUAUUUGAAAGAGAGCAAGGAAGGGUAUAUGUGAGUCUUUGGGGUAGAAGAGGAACUAGAUAACAGAUGUAGUAAUAAUCACAAAAAAGAAAAGAAAUCUUUUAGUUGCCCUCUGAAUUUAGCAAGAUUCUGUAUGG
rnacentral:lncRNA from 1 species